GCCUAAAGAAACAACGUGACUCAUAAUCUGU
rnacentral:piRNA from 1 species